AACAUUCUGGAAAGUAUAACCAUAGAGGGUGAUAGUCCCGUAUGCGAAAAACAAACCUUAGCUAGCAGUAUCCUGAGUAGGGCGGGACACGAGGAAUCCUGUCUGAAUCCGGGUCGACCACGAUCCAACCCUAAAUACUAAUACCAGAUCGAUAGUGCACAAGUACCGUGAGGGAAAGGUGAAAAGAACUGAGGUGAUCAGAGUGAAAUAGAACCUGAAACCAUUUGCUUACAAUCAUUCAGAGCCCUAUGUAGCAAUACAGGGUGAUGGACUGCCUUUUGCAUAAUGAGCCUGCGAGUUGUGGUGUCUGGCAAGGUUAAGCAAACGCGAAGCCGUAGCGAAAGCGAGUCUGAAUAGGGCGCUUAGUCAGAUGCUGCAGACCCGAAACGAAGUGAUCUAUCCAUGAGCAAGUUGAAGCUAGUGUAAGAACUAGUGGAGGACUGAACCCAUAGGCGUUGAAAAGCCCCGGGAUGACUUGUGGAUAGGGGUGAAAGGCCAAUCAAACUUCGUGAUAGCUGGUUCUCUCCGAAAUAUAUUUAGGUAUAGCGUUGUGUCGUAAUAUAAGGGGGUAGAGCACUGAAUGGGCUAGGGCAUACACCAAUGUACCAAACCCUAUCAAACUCCGAAUACCUUAUAUGUAAUCACAGCAGUCAGGCGGCGAGUGAUAAAAUCCGUCGUCAAGAGGGAAACAACCCAGACUACCAGCUAAGGUCCCUAAGUCUUACUUAAGUGGAAAACGAUGUGAAGUUACUUAAACAACCAGGAGGUUGGCUUAGAAGCAGCCAUCCUUUAAAGAAAGCGUAAUAGCUCACUGGUCUAGUGAUUUUGCGCGGAAAAUAUAACGGGGCUAAAGU
rnacentral:rRNA from 1 species